rnacentral:rRNA from 1 species
AACGAACGCUGGCGGCAUGCCUAACACAUGCAAGUCGAGCGAAAACAUCGGGACUUGUGGCCCCCGAGUGCAUCACGCGAGGGAACAUUACCAUGGGUUCGGCCUAACUCCCAGACAGGGGUGCUAUUACCGGAUCAUGUCUAAGGACCAAAAAUUUAUCGACUUUGAAUGGGCCAGCGUUGGAUUAGGUAGUUGGUAGGGUAAAAGCUUACCAAGGGGACGAUCCAUAGCUUGUUUGAGAGGAUGAUCAGCCACACUGGGACUGAGACACGGCCCAGACUCCUACGGGAGGCAGCAGUGGGUAAUAGUGGACAGUGGGCGGAAGCCUGAUCGAGCAAUGCCGCGUGAGUGAUGAAAGCAUUAGGGUUGUAAAGUUUUUGUACCCGUGAUGAUAAUGACAGUACCGGGAGAGUAAGCUCCGGCUAACUCCGUG